GAGUACUGAAAUGGAAGGUAGUUUGGUGUACAAGGGGAACCACAAGGAUCCUGACUUACGUGAUGCCUCAGAUCACUCAAUCACUAUUGGCUCAUAUAUUCCUCCAUUUUGUGAAAAUGUGUCUCGGAAACGGAAGAGUAAUGGAAAUGUGUCUUGGGCCCCACUCAUACUCCGUCUUCAUCAAUAAUUGAGGUCUUUUGUUUUUUCGCCCUCUCCCACAUUGUUGUAAGUGUAAGCGAUAGAUUGUUCACAUAGAACGGGGUUAUCUUGAAUCCACAAGAUAGGAUAUAGCCUAGCUAUCUCGAGUUAUUAUGUCCGUUGGUGUGAACAGUGAUUGAUAAACAAAGCACUGCAGUAUGGGAGAAGAUUUCAUGUGUCAUUAGUUGACAUAAGAGAAUUACUGAUUUUCUUACAUUAAAAUGUUGACACUAAUAAAAAUUAUGGGAAACAAAAAUUAUCAUAAUUUUUUUUUUUUUUUUUUCUUAAUUGGGUACUCACAUACACAUACCUUUACAGAGGCUCAAGCCCCUGACAUCUCUUUGAGACGUAGGGACUUGGUACCGCUAGACUACUGGCCUGUUGGUAAAAUUAUCAUAAUUUGACACGAGUAUUACCUAGUGGCCUCUUCCAUCGGAUUCGGAUGGGAUUUAAACUUCUCCAAGGUCAAGCUCAUUUAGGCUGGCCUUUACUUCCCCGACUGAUAUUUAUUUCUUCUCUUCUAAUUGUGAGCCUUAGUAAUAUGAAAUCAAGUCAUACGAAGAGGAAGCAUUCUCCACAUUAAAAUGAAAUGGCACAAAAGCAGGGAAGCUGCGUAAAUGGGGAUCCUCGCCAAGAGACGAAGGAGGAGACUGGGUUGGGUGUUAACAAUUUAUGUUUUUGAAUUGGGUUUUGAAAUACCUGUCUCCUCGAACGGACGGAGAAAACAUUUAAAUUUAAAUUUAAUGUUGUUCAUGUUAUAUUUCUCCAAGUUAUUUAAAUUUUGAUAACUUGGGUUUUCUUAUUUUCCCUGUAGCUCAUGAGAAGGACACGAGUGUUACAUGUGAUUUUUGGAGUUUGAUGAGUAGUAGGGUUCUUGAUGGUGAUGGGGGACCCAUUCUUUAGUUCAAGACCCAAAAAAGGAUCAAAGAUGUGUUUCCUGGGCAGAAGAAUUGAAGUGCAAAAUUUUUUAAUGUUAAAAUGCGCGCGCGCAGUGGGGGGCUUAAACCAAAA